UACGUAGGCAGCGAGCGUUGUUCGGAAUUACUGGGCGUAAAGAGUGCGUAGGCGGUGUUCUAAGUCUGGUGUGAAAUCUCCCGGCUCAACUGGGAGGGUGCGCCGGAAACUAGGAUGCUAGAGGGUGGGAGAGGUAAGCGGAAUUCCUGGUGUAGCGGUGAAAUGCGUAGAUAUGAGGAGGAACACCUGUGGUGUAGACAGCUUACUGGACCACUUCCGACGCUGAGGCGCGACAGCUAGGGUAGCAAACGGG
rnacentral:rRNA from 1 species